GCCCCUUGCCCCACCCAUCACGGGCGUGGUCAGGAAACAGUCUGCCACACCAACAGGUUGAACUUUGAGUAUCAGACCAGGAAGUGCAGUGAUGUGAGCAGUGGUACGAAAGAUGGUUGUUUCCCUGGGCGCUGUGAGGCUCCUCCAGCAGCAUGCUGUGAGGCCUUGACAGGAAGAUGGUGCUGGACCAAAGCUACAUGAAGUCUGAGAAGCUCCAUGAGUGACCAUGGCUGAUGAAAUACCAAAGGAGGGAGCUGCAGUUUUCUGUCCUGACGUGGUCACUCUUUUGACGCUUCUAAUAAAUACAAUCAACGAGGGGAUUAAAUCACUACAGUUCACAAUUUGUGAGGAAUUAAAAUACAAAGAGACAUUUGCACCAGUGUUUCCAUAAACACCAUCUUGUGUCACUGAGUGAGAGACAUUGUGAUGUCAUUUUCUGAAUCAAUGAUUGGACACAUACAUGUAAAAAUAUACAUAAAAUGUUUCAGCACAAUUUGUAUUCUUCUGCACACUUCACUUGUUGAUGUUUAUUUCUUACAUUGUGUUUUUGACAAAGGUUCAAAGGGACUGAAAAGGUUGGGUUUUUUCUAAUAAAUUUGGAGAUGCUUAGCAAGAGAAGUGUGCAGGAUUAUGUAUUUUUUUUCCAAGUUACAUGUUGUUAAAAGCUGUGCAUACUUUAGAGAACAUUUACCUUUUCCUCAUUAUUCAUGAACUACUACAAAAAAAGCUUUUUGGGGGGGUUUAAUGUAUUGAUGGUCCCACAGAAAGCUGAAAGGUUUUGUUCAAUUUUUAAAUCAAAACACUCAUGAACAAACAUAUGUGUAUGAUAGCUCCUGUAGUUUUCUCUGUAGAACAUUUUUUGUGGCAGACAUACAGUGAUUUAUUCAGAUUUCUUGUACUGAGUAUUUUGCCAAACAUUCUCUGCACGUAUAACAUGAGUUAGCCAUCAAUGAUGAAUUAGCUGUGUUCAAACAUAGUUAUCAUAAAAGAACGGUUCUAUCUCUUGUAUGCAGAAUUCCUCUACAGAACUUUUUUUUUUUUUUUAAAACCUCAUUUUAAAGAUUUAAAUUAAGA